UACGUAGGGUGCGAGCGUUGUCCGGAAUUAUUGGGCGUAAAGAGCUCGUAGGCGGUGUGUCGCGUCGGCCGUGAAAACUUGCAGCUUAACUGUGGGCGUGCGGUCGAUACGGGCAGACUGGAGUACUGCAGGGGAGACUGGAAUUCCUGGUGUAGCGGUGGAAUGCGCAGAUAUCAGGAGGAACACCGGUGGCGAAGGCGGAUCUCUGGGCCUUACCUGACGCUCAGGCGCGAAAGCUAGGGGAGCGAACAGG
rnacentral:rRNA from 1 species